UGGGGAAUAUUGCACAAUGGGCGCAAGCCUGAUGCAGCCAUGCCGCGUGUAUGAAGAAGGCCUUCGGGUUGUAAAGUACUUUCAGUCGGGAGGAAGGUGGUAAGGUUAAUAACCUUAUCAAUUGACGUUACCGACAGAAGAAGCACCGGCUAACUCCGUGCCAGCAGCCGCGGUAAUACGGAGGGUGCAAGCGUUAAUCGGAAUUACUGGGCGUAAAGCGCACGCAGGCGGUCUGUCAAGUCGGAUGUGAAAUCCCCGGGCUCAACCUGGGAACUGCAUCUGAUACUGGCAAGCUUGAGUCUCGUAGAGGGGGGUAGAAUUCCAGGUGUAGCGGUGAAAUGCGUAGAGAUCUGGAGGAAUACCGGUGGCGAAGGCGGCCCCCUGGACGAAGACUGACGCUCAGGUGCGAAAGCGGGGGGAGCAAACAGG
rnacentral:rRNA from 1 species